GAUGAACGCUGGCGGCGUGCCUAAUACAUGCAAGUCGAGCGAACGGACGAGAAGCUUGCUUCUCUGAUGUUAGCGGCGGACGGGUGAGUAACACGUGGAUAACCUACCUAUAAGACUGGGAUAACUUCGGGAAACCGGAGCUAAUACCGGAUGAUAUUUUGAACCGCAUGGUUCAAAAGUGAAAGACGGUCUUGCUGUCACUUAUAGAUGGAUCCGCGCUGCAUUAGCUAGUUGGUAAGGUAACGGCUUACCAAGGCAACGAUGCAUAGCCGACCUGAGAGGGUGAUCGGCCACACUGGAACUGAGACACGGUCCAGACUCCUACGGGAGGCAGCAGUAGGGAAUCUUCCGCAAUGGGCGGAAGCCUGACGGAGCAACGCCGCGUGAGUGAUGAAGGUCUUCGGAUCGUAAAACUCUGUUAUUGGGGAAGAACAUAUGUGUAAGUAACUGUGCACAUCUUGACGGUACCUAAUCAGAAAGCCACGGCUAACUACGUG
rnacentral:rRNA from 1 species